rnacentral:rRNA from 1 species
GACGAACGCUGGCGGCGUGCUUAACACAUGCAAGUCGAACGGUAAGGCCCUUCGGGGUACACGAGUGGCGAACGGGUGAGUAACACGUGGGUGAUCUGCCCUGCACUUCGGGAUAAGCCUGGGAAACUGGGUCUAAUACCGGAUAGGACCCUGGGAUGCAUGUCCUGGGGUGGAAAGCGUUUGCGGUGUGGGAUGGGCCCGCGGCCUAUCAGCUUGUUGGUGGGGUAAUGGCCUACCAAGGCGACGACGGGUAGCCGGCCUGAGAGGGUGACCGGCCACACUGGGACUGAGAUACGGCCCAGACUCCUACGGGAGGCAGCAGUGGGGAAUAUUGCACAAUGGGCGCAAGCCUGAUGCAGCGACGCCGCGUGAGGGAUGACGGCCUUCGGGUUGUAAACCUCUUUCAGCACCGACGAAGCGCAAGUGACGGUAGGUGCAGAAGAAGGACCGGCCAACUACGUGCCAGCCGCCGCGGUAA